UACGAAGGGGGCUAGCGUUGCUCGGAAUCACUGGGCGUAAAGCGCACGUAGGCGGCUUGUUAAGUCAGGGGUGAAAUCCUGGAGCUCAACUCCAGAACUGCCUUUGAUACUGGCGUAGCUUGAGUUCGGGAGAGGUGAGUGGAACUGCGAGUGUAGAGGUGAAAUUCGUAGAUAUUCGCAAGAACACCAGUGGCGAAGGCGGCUCACUGGCCCGAUACUGACGCUGAGGUGCGAAAGCUAGGGGAGCAAACGGG
rnacentral:rRNA from 1 species